CUGAUGUCCGUAGCACCUUUCAGCUAGUACUUAAAUGGACUGUGAAAGAAUGCUCGAGCUACUCAAAGGAGUUGAUGCUCUCUGAUUAAAGCUCGAAAGAUCAGGCUCGAGCAGCUUUCUGAAUAGUUAUCAGAAAGUUGAUGUAUAAGAGGAUGUCGGUUGCCCCCUGAAUCAUCAUGAGAGUCUUAUAGCUCUUCAAAUGGUCGAUUG
rnacentral:lncRNA from 1 species